CCCCCUGGCUUCUAUUUGUCUUCCUUAUCAAUCAUGCCUGGAUUAACAAUCCCUGGCUUCCACUUGUCCAUCCACCAAUUAACAACUGGCUUCCUUUGUUAUACUGUUGUUGUUUCAACAUGUACAUAUAUAGCUGUUUGUUCCUAAUUGUUUCAUUCACCUGAUGAAGGAGUAAGAACAUGCUUCGAAACAUCGUGACCCUUCAUAAUAAAGAAGUUGUCAUCCAUAAAACUCUUGUCUUUAAUAUAGAUUCAGGGACUAAGCGUAAGUCGACACAAUACCCAAUGGCAUAGCGUAAUAUAGACAGCUUAUAGGAUCGCAUUGUAAAGAAUUUCUAACCUUCCCCAAAACCAGUCUUGUGAACACAAAUCAGAAAAUACUUAUCCCCAGUGAUGUUUUCAAUGCAUUUUUACUACAAAAAUAAAAUACAAAGAUCAUCAGAACAAAACAUUCGAAACCUUUUCAUAAACUAGUCUACUACUCUUUUCAUAAACUAUACCCAAGUUUUAAUCGAAUGAUCUUCACAUGUUAAACAUAUAACGGUAUCAGCGAAUAGAUCUUCA